AUUGAACGCUGGCGGCAGGCCUAACACAUGCAAGUCGAGCGGAUGAGGGGAGCUUGCUUCCUGAUUCAGCGGCGGACGGGUGAGUAAUGCCUAGGAAUCUGCCUGGUAGUGGGGGACAACGUUUCGAAAGGAACGCUAAUACCGCAUACGUCCUACGGGAGAAAGUGGGGGAUCUUCGGACCUCACGCUAUCAGAUGAGCCUAGGUCGGAUUAGCUAGUUGGUGAGGUAAAGGCUCACCAAGGCGACGAUCCGUAACUGGUCUGAGAGGAUGAUCAGUCACACUGGAACUGAGACACGGUCCAGACUCCUACGGGAGGCAGCAGUGGGGAAUAUUGGACAAUGGGCGAAAGCCUGAUCCAGCCAUGCCGCGUGUGUGAAGAAGGUCUUCGGAUUGUAAAGCACUUUAAGUUGGGAGGAAGGGCUGUAGGCUAAUAUCCUGCAGUUUUGACGUUACCGACAGAAUAAGCACCGGCUAACUUCGCGCCAGCCGCCGCGGUAACAC
rnacentral:rRNA from 1 species